rnacentral:rRNA from 1 species
AGAGUUCGAUUAUGGCUCAGGAUGAACGCUGGCGGCGUGCUUAACACAUGCAAGUCGAACGAGAAAUGAAGAUGGAAACCUUCGGGCGGAAGCCUUCAUUUCGAGUGGCGGACGGGUGAGUAACGCGUGGGUAACCUGCCUCAUACAGGGGGAUAACAGUUGGAAACGACUGUUAAUACCGCAUAAGACCACAGCACCGCAUGGUGCGGGGGUAAAAACUCCGGUGGUAUGAGAUGGACCCGCGUUCGAUUAGCCAGUUGGCGGGGUAACGGCCCACCAAAGCGACGAUCGAUAGCCGAUCUGAGAGGAUGACCGGCCACAUUGGGACUGAGACACGGCCCAA